CCCUGUUCCUGUCCAUCUUCUGCAAGGGAGUGGCCAGGCCUGAGUGGGACCAACCCCCGGCGGCAGAGUGGCCCCGAGAGGUGACAGAGUGCCGCAGCGCUCCCGGCACCCGCGAGGGAGAGUUUGGCCACAGCCCGGGAUGGGGAAGAGCAGCAGGAGGAGGAGGAGGAGGAGGAGGGGAAAGAUGUGAUGAAUCACGGUGCUGGCACAGCCAUUCCCGCCAGGAAUUCCCACCUGGAAGCAGAGAGCCCCGUUGCGGUCGGCGUCGAAGGCGUCGAACAAGAAGUGGGCGUAGGAGCUGGCGUCUGCGGGGAAGGGGGACGGUGACUCCCCCGGGACUGGGGUCGGGGCAUUCCCCAGUGGGCCCCCCCAGACCCUCGUGCCGGGUUUGGGGACCCCCCGACUCACCGCCUUGAGGGAAGAACCGCGAGUAGAUGAGUGUGAAGGUUUCCUCAUCCACGAGGCCGCUGGGACAUUCCUGGGAAGGGGAGCGGCGCCGGUGACCCCGAAGAAAGCGGGGAGCCAGGGAUUUGGGGUGUCGGACCCCCAGACUCACGUUCUUGAAGCCACGGUAGAGGGAUUGAAGCUCCGACUUGGUGAACUUGGUCCGAGCCAGCAGCUGCUCCAGCCCCUCGGGUUGGUGCCGGAUGGUCGGGAGCUCCACGUCGGCAUCGCCGCUGUCUGCCAGGAGAGAGCCCCGGGCAAAGAUCCCCCCUAGGAACAUCCCCUCCACACCUCAACCCACCCACACCCCCCUAAAACCGCCCCCGUCCCCCUAAAACUACGGCCCAGAGCCUCGGCAGACCCCGAAUCCCCCUCGGGACCCUGGAACACCGCGGGUGUUGCAUCCCGAGGCGUUUCCAGCAUCCCGAAGGCGCAGAACGUUCCCGAGCCGCCUCUUAGCCACUGCUGCUCCGGUCCGGCCCGGUGGAAGGUAAUUAAUAAAUGAUGGUUCAUUAAUAA